CAUUUGCUUGUUGAAGAUAAGGAUUAGAAAUUUAACUAAGUACCCUUGAAAGUAAGGGAAAGGGAAGUUUCCAGGAAAUUUUGCAGGAAGAUCACUAUCAAAACAAUCCACAGUAAUGACAAAGCAAUCCACGGUAUAAAUCCUAACGGCAGCUUCGGAUAUGGAUCAUAUCAUACAAGGGUUACUCAGUCAUGGCAAGGUACUUUGAUAUUGUGUCUAGCUCCGACGAUGGGGUUGAGCCGGGUCUUACGUUUUAUCUUUGCUUGAUCGUCUUAUCCGCAUCAAUCAUGUCUAUGGUCAUCUUGUCUUGUGGUAUCUGCUUUGAAGAAUCACCCACAAAGGGCCGUCGUGGCCGGGCGCCGGGGACGUCGGGGGCGGCAGCGGCAGCGGCUGGGGCAGCGGCGUCGACAGCGACCACAAGCAGCGGAGGCGGAUGUUGACAUGUGGAUGUAGUGAUGAUGCAAGAAUCAACUAUCAAUUAAAUUUGUACAUGAUUUGAGUAAGACUUUGACCACAUGAGCAAAUGAGAGGGAUUGGAAUCCUAAAAUAAUAUAGCUAAGAUGAUACCAUUUUGAUGUUGAAGUUAGAAGGAAAUUCUAAGAAUUGAGAAUAAUGAGAACUACAAUGAAUGUCAUGCUUUUAGUUUACCCGAUGAAAUUUUUUUUUUUUAUAGUUUUUAGAAUGAGUUUUGUGAUGAGGAUGAUCAACCUUGUCUAUAUUGUAAAAGAUUAAUUAAUUCUCCCUUAUUUCACGAGUUCAACAUUGAGUUGAACUAUGUUUGCUUGAGUCGAUGUUAUUGAUCUUAUCCUAGGGUGGUGGAGAUUAGGGCACGUGACAUUAAUAGAGUUUUGAGAUGUCAAUUCCCUAAUUCUUUCAGCUAUGAUUGGAUUUAUUUAUCCUUAAAUGAUACAAAUUGCCUUGAGUUAAAGGCUGAGCAAAUUGGUCUUCAAGGACUUCUCUGGUUUAGAAUGUAAUUGUAGUAUUGAGCAAAUAAUAUUUGCACUUAUCCUUCUUGGAGUAUCUUUAGGACUUCAUCUUCUAUUUC